GAUGAACGCUGGCGGCGUGCCUAAUACAUGCCAGUCGAGCGAACGGACGAGAAGCUUGCUUCUCUGAUGUUAGCGGCGGACGGGUGAGUAACACGUGGAUAACCUACCUAUAAGACUGGGAUAACUUCGGGAAACCGGAGCUAAUACCGGAUAAUAUUUUGAACCGCAUGGUUCAAAAGUGAAAGACGGUCUUGCUGUCACUUAUAGAUGGAUCCGCGCUGCAUUAGCUAGUUGGUAAGGUAACGGCUUACCAAGGCAACGAUGCAUAGCCGACCUGAGAGGGUGAUCGGCCACACUGAAACUGAGACACGGUCCAGACUCCUACGGGAGGCAGCAGUAGGGAAUCUUCCGCAAUGGGCGGAAGCCUGACGGAGCAACGCCGCGUGAGUGAUGAAGGUCUUCGGAUCGUAAAACUCUGUUAUUAGGGAAGAACAUAUGUGUAAGUAACUGUGCACAUCUUGACGGUACCUAAUCAGAAAGCCACGGCUAACUACGUG
rnacentral:rRNA from 1 species